rnacentral:rRNA from 1 species
UACGGAGGGUGCAAGCGUUGUCCGGAAUCACUGGGCGUAAAGAGCGUGUAGGCGGCCACGCAGGUCCGUUGUGAAAACUGGAGGCUCAACCUCCAGCUGUCGACGGAAACCGUAUGGCUAGAGUCCGGAAGAGGAGAGUGGAAUUCCUGGUGUAGCGGUGAAAUGCGCAGAUAUCAGGAAGAACACCAAUGGCGAAGGCAGCUCUCUGGGACGGUACUGACGCUGAGACGCGAAAGCGUGGGGAGCGAACAGG